GACGAGCCGUGCGAACGUUAUUCGGAAUCACUGGGCUUAAAGCGCGUGUAGGCGGGACGGCACGUCGGUCGCUGAAAUCCCCCGGCUCAACCGGGGAACGGGCGCCGAUACGACCGCCCUGGAGGGGCGUAGGGGGACCUGGAACUUCCGGUGGAGCGGUGAAAUGCGUUGAGAUCGGAAGGAACGCCCGUGGCGAAAGCGAGGUCCUGGACGCUUACUGACGCUGAGACGCGAAAGCCAGGGGAGCGAACGG
rnacentral:rRNA from 1 species